AGGUAAGCUACUAAGAGCGAAUGGUGGAUGCCUUGACUGGUAGAGGCGAUGAAGGACGUACUAGACUGCGAUAAGCUAGGUGGAGCUGUCAAGAAGCUUUGAUGCCUAGAUUUCCGAAUGGGGCAACCCAGUAUAUAGAGAUAUAUACUACCAUAAUGGAGCGAACGAGGGGAAUUGAAACAUCUUAGUACCCUCAGGAAAAGAAAUCAAACGAGAUUGCGUCAGUAGCGGCGAGCGAAAGCGUAAGAGGGCAAACCCAGUGCUUGCACUGGGGGUUGUAGGACUGCAAUGUGCAAGAGGAAAGGUUAGCAGAACACUCUGGAAAGUGUAGCCAUAGAGGGUGAUAGUCCCGUAUGCAAAAACCUAACCUUAGCUAGCAGUAUCCUGAGUAGGGCGGGACACGAGAAAUCCUGUCUGAAGCUGGGUAGACCACUAUCCAACCCUAAAUACUCCUACCAGAUCGAUAGCGAACAAGUACCGUGAGGGAAAGGUGAAAAGAACGGCGGUGAGCCGAGUGAAAUAGAACCUGAAACCAUUUGCUUACAAUCAUUCAGAGCACUAUGUAGCAAUACAGUGUGAUGGACUGCCUUUUGCAUAAUGAGCCUGCGAGUUGUGGUGUCUGGCAAGGUUAAGCUAACGCGAAGCCGUAGCGAAAGCGAGUCUGAAUAGGGCGCUAAGUCAGAUGCUGCAGACCCGAAACGAAGUGAUCUAUCCAUGAGCAGGUUGAAGCUAGUGUAAGAACUAGUGGAGGACCGAACCCGCUAGCGUUGAAAAGCUAUGGGAUGACUUGUGGAUAGGGGUGAAAGGCCAAUCAAACUUCGUGAUAGCUGGUUCUCUCCGAAAUAUAUUUAGGUAUAGCGUUGUGUCGUAACUAAAGGGGGUAGAGCACUGAAUGGGCUAGGGCAUACACCAAUGUACCAAACCCUAUCAAACUCCGAAUACCUUUAGUGUAAUCACAGCAGUCAGGCGGCGAGUGAUAAAAUCCGUCGUCAAGAGGGAAACAACCCAGACUAACAGCUAAGGUCCCCAAAUCUUACUUAAGUGGAAAACGAUGUGAAGUUACUUAAACAACCAGGAGGUUGGCUUAGAAGCAGCCAUCCUUUAAAGAAAGCGUAAUAGCUCACUGGUCUAGUGAUUUUGCGCGGAAAAUAUAACGGGGCUAAAGUAAGUACCGAAGCUUUAGACUUGCACACAACUUAGAUGAUUUAAAUUUGGAAUAUGAGAAGCUAAAUUUAUUUUUAUUUAUUUUUGCUUAUCUUUAUUCAUUUUUAUAGAGUAAAGAUAAAAACAAAAACUUCGUAAAAAUAAUAAAAUAUAGUAAAAAACAAUAAAAAUAUUCUUAGAUUAAAAGUUAAGUCGUUUAAGUUGUGUGCAAGUGGUAGGAGAGCGUUCUAUUUGCGUCGAAGGUAUACCGACAAGGAGUGCUGGAGCGAAUAGAAGUGAGCAUGCAGGCAUGAGUAGCGAUAAUUAAUGUGAGAAUCAUUAACGCCGUAAACCCAAGGUUUCCUACGCGAUGCUCGUCAUCGUAGGGUUAGUCGGGUCCUAAGCUGAGUCCGAAAGGGGUAAGCGAUGGCAAAUAGGUUAAUAUUCCUAUACCAACAUUAGUGUGCGAUGGAAGGACGCUUAGGGCUAAGGGGGCUAGCGGAUGGAAGUGCUAGUCUAAGGUCGUAGGAGGUUAUACAGGCAAAUCCGUAUAACAAUACUCCGAGAACUGAAAGGCUUUUUGAAGUCUUCGGAUGGAAAGAAGAACCCCUGAUGCCGUCGAGCCAAGAAAAGUUUCUAAGUUUAGCUAAUGUUGCCCGUACCGUAAACCGACACAGGUGGGUGGGAUGAGUAUUCUAAGGCGCGUGGAAGAACUCUCUUUAAGGAACUCUGCAAAAUAGCACCGUAUCUUCGGUA
rnacentral:rRNA from 1 species